rnacentral:sRNA from 1 species
UUUUUUUUUGGUUUUAAGAUAUGAAAACAUAUAAAUUAAGA